rnacentral:rRNA from 1 species
ACGCUCGACACCUACAGGAGGCAGCAGUGGGGAAUAUUGCACAAUGGGGGAAACCCUGAUGCAGCGACGCCGCGUGGAGGAAGAAGGUCUUCGGAUUGUAAACUCCUGUUGUUGGGGAAAAAGAGGAUGGUACCCAACAAGGAAGUGACGGCUAACUACGUGCCAGCACGCCGCGGUAAUCUGAGGCGGGCUGGACAAGGC